rnacentral:rRNA from 1 species
GAUGAACGCUGGCGGCGUGCCUAAUACAUGCAAGUCGAGCGAACAGACGAGGAGCUUGCUCCUCUGACGUUAGCGGCGGACGGGUGAGUAACACGUGGAUAACCUACCUAUAAGACUGGGAUAACUUCGGGAAACCGGAGCUAAUACCGGAUAAUAUAUUGAACCGCAUGGUUCAAUAGUGAAAGACGGUUUUGCUGUCACUUAUAGAUGGAUCCGCGCCGCAUUAGCUAGUUGGUAAGGUAACGGCUUACCAAGGCAACGAUGCGUAGCCGACCUGAGAGGGUGAACGGCAACGCUGAGACUGAGACAGGGUACAAGCAAACACGGGAGGAAGCAUAAGGGAAUCCUCAGAAAGGGGCGAAUGCAAGAGAGAGCAACAACGUGGGAACGAUGAAUGUGUUCGGAGCGGAUAAAAUUGUUAAUGGUGAAGAAAAAAUGGGUAAGGAAAUAUGCAAGACUUGAUGGAAAGUAAGUAGAGAGACACGGAUAAGUACGUG